GGCAGCGAGAAGCACAACAGGUUGGUUUUUUAUCGUUUGUAUUGUUAUCCGAUUACUAAACUGAAGAUUUUUACUAUAAUAUUAUCUUUGUGGUUUUUACCAUCAGAUACCCGAUUCACCUGAUUCUCCUGACGCCCAGCAUGCUGAGGACUUUUUAGAGGCUUUAAUAGCAGAAGAACAGAUACCCGAUUCACCCGAUUCUCCAGGAGCCCAGCACGAUGAGGACUUUUUUGAGGCUUUAUUAGAAGAAGAAGAAGAACAGCAGUCAUCUGACCCUUGGGAAUUCCCAUCACGCGGUAGCUGCAGACGCAGAACUCCUCCUCCUUCGAGUUCUUCAGAUUCGG